rnacentral:rRNA from 1 species
GUGCCAGCAGCCGCGGUAAUACGGAAGGUCCGGGCGUUAUCCGGAUUUAUUGGGUUUAAAGGGAGCGCAGGCUGAUUGUUAAGCGUGACGUGAAAUGUAGCCGCUCAACGGCUGAACUGCGUCGCGAACUGGCAGUCUUGAGUGAGUACGACGUCAGCGGAAUUCGUGGUGUAGCGGUGAAAUGCUUAGAUAUCACGAAGAACCCCGAUUGCGAAGGCAGCUGACGAGUCCUUUACUGACGCUAAAGCUCGAAGGUGCGGGUAUCGAACAGGAUUAGAUACCCUGGUAGUCCGCACGGUAAACGAUGGAUGCCCGCUGUUGGCGAUACAAUGUCAGCGGCCAAGCGAAAGCGUUAAGCAUCCCACCUGGGGAGUACGCCGGCAACGGUGAAACUCAAAGGAAUUGACGGGGGCCCGCACAAGCGGAGGAACAUGUGGUUUAAUUCGAUGAUACGCGAGGAACCUUACCCGGGCUUGAACUGCAGGGGAACGAUAGAGAGAUCUUGAGGUCAGCAAUGACCCCUGUGGAGGUGCUGCAUGGUUGUCGUCAGCUCGUGCCGUGAGGUGUCGGCUUAAGUGCCAUAACGAGCGCAACCCUUGUCUGUAGUUGCCAUCAGGUGAUGCUGGGCACUCUGCGGAUACUGCCACCGUAAGGUGUGAGGAAGGUGGGGAUGACGUCAAAUCAGCACGGCCCUUACGUCCGGGGCUACACACGUGUUACAAUGGGGUGUACAGAGAGUCGGUGCAUGGCAAUAUGCAUCCAAUCCUUAAAGCACUCCUCAGUUCGGAUUGGGGUCUGCAACCCGACCCCAUGAAGCUGGAUUCGCUAGUAAUCGCGCACCAGCCAUGGCGCGGUGAAUACGUUCCCGGGCCUUGUACACACCGCCCGU